rnacentral:tRNA from 1 species
CAUCAAGAAGCUUUUUUCUUACAGCACCAGCCUUUUAAGCCGGAGAAGGGAAUUUAUCCCCAUGAUGA